UACGUAGGGUCCGAGCGUUAAUCGGAAUUACUGGGCGUAAAGCGUGCGCAGGCGGUUUGUUAAGACAGGUGUGAAAUCCCCGGGCUUAACCUGGGAACUGCGCUUGUUACUGGCAGGCUUGAGUGUGGCAGAGGGGGGUGGAAUUCCACGUGUAGCAGUGAAAUGCGUAGAGAUGUGGAGGAACACCGAUGGCGAAGGCAGCCCCCUGGGCUAACACUGACGCUCAUGCACGAAAGCGUGGGGAGCAAACAGG
rnacentral:rRNA from 1 species